CCACUUAAGUUUCUUCUUUACAAUCAAAUGGAACCUUAUAAAAAAUACUAGAAAUACAAUAUCUGAAACCCUUCUGCUCGCUUUGGCUGGCCUCUUCAUCUAAAUUUGCAUUGAGAAACAAAGGAUUUUGAACUAAUAUUUCCUCAUGAUCCGAUCACCCGUCAAAAUCAUCAUUAUUCCUGCAUUAUUCUUUGCAAGAUUGAUGAAAACUACAGAUUUGAAAAACGAAGUUCUGACAAAUCAUUCUCCAUUUCUCUUUGAAGAUUUUAGUUCUCAAAUUUGUAGCCAGGCUCCUAGUUAAUUGUUAUCAUUGCUUAAAAGAGAUCCUGAAAAUAGCAAUCAACUUCAUUUGAUUCACUGUAGCUUUAAGUGAUUGAUGAAUUUUUCAGAAGCGAUGCUUGAUUAUGAUGAAGAUAGAAGUCAUCCAUCGUUCCAUUCAUUCAUGUAGUGCAUGCUCUUUCACUACAGCCAGAUUGAAGUUAUCUCACCAUUUGACCUUGAAUCUUUUAAUUACUAUAAUCUUCAUCUUAAAAAUCAAAUUGAGUUCAUAGAUUUCCUUGGUUCAAUUUAUGGGCCCGAAACCCAUUGAACUUGACAAUGAAAGAGAAAUCAUCAAAUCUUUGAACACCCCAAAAAUACUAUGAGGUGUUCAGAAAUGAUCAAAGUAGUUAAAUAAACAAAAAUUAAAAAAAAAAAUUUUAUCAAAUGGAUAAACAUCUUACUAGAGAGAUGAAAGAUAGAAUAACAUCCUCUGUUAGAACAUGUAGUUCCCCAACGUCCAAAUGAACUAAAAGAGAACAAUGGAUAGCGAGAGGAACACGGAUAAUAUAGCUUCAAGGGAACGAGUCAAGCAGAAACAGCUAUAUACAUAUAUAUAUAUAUAUUCUGCAGACCAGAUAAAGAAGCUGAGAAUUAGCAUAAAUUAACAAGAAGCCCACCAAAUUGUGCUAAAAAAGAAACACGAAAAUUCUCAGAUUUUUCAGAAACGAACAAAUUACUAGACCAGAUAAAGUGUAAACAUAUUUAGUUAGGCUUACUAGACCAGUAUCAAGUAAAAAAUCAACAAGUCUGAAGAGCCCAACUUCAAUUUACGAGCAGAACAACACCGCCCUUCCCAAUUAUCUAAACAGAAGAAAGGAGGCUGCCUGAAUUUCUCCUCAAAUUCACAACACAAAGCUGCAACUAUAUUGAAAAUUUGUACUGUAAUGGGCUCAGAGAGUUGCUUUAUGUGCUCAUAAAAGAGCAAACGCUCUUCUCAUACAAGAGGUGUCAGAAUAAAGCAUUAGUCAUCUCUGCCCAAUUUAGAAGAAAAAAAAAUUUCAUUCUUUAAAUCCAAAGGGACUCAGUUUAUGGGUGGUGAUAUAUCAGGUUGGUCGGCAAGGUGUAUCAUUCGAACACCAUUACGACGAACGAGACCAAUAUCAAUUUAGUCGUCAUCGUCCCACAUUGUAAAUUGACAUUUGGACUGGAAUUAACUAAUCAGGAAGACACUAAUAAUACAAAAACCAUAGAAAAAGAGUUGAUUUUUGAAUUAGAAAAUCAAUGGGAAUCAUCAGAUAGGAGCGAAAGACUAUACAAAUUUAUAAUCACAUAAUGUAUCAUUUGAACUAUGCUUCUAAUCAUCAUUUGAUCCCAUUUUAUUCAUCAAUUUGCAGCAAAAACACCAAGGGUAUACAAAUUUCACACAAAUAUAUAAAUGUACACAUAAACCUAAAAAAAGGAUCUGUGAUUGGAAUAGCGCCUCAGAAGGAAGGCAGUAGUGUUGCUGUAAUCAAAGAUUUCUCAUGAAUGAAUAUCACUUCAAUCAUCAUUGGCAGCUCGCCAUAUCUAUUAAUCAAACUAACGAACGAAAACACCUUUUUGAAAUCGAUUUUACCUUUUUAAUGGACAAAAAUUUCUGAAAAAUCUAUCAAUCAAAUAGUUAUAACAGAUCUAGUAAUCAAACAAGGAAAACAGAAUAAGAUGGCCUCAUAGAGAAGAUUAGAUUGAUCCACAUAUUGUAAUUCAGACAUAUGCUUGUCAAAAUUAAUGUAUAAUCAUUGGCCAAUACUUGAAAAAAUCCCAAAAAUAAAAUAAAAAUAAAAUUUCUUGACCUGCGAAUUGGCCUACCUACACACCGAGAUUCAUACAAGUGAGUGUACCUGCGAAUUGUUAAUAUCGCAAGCUCUGGAGAUCUAAUAUUAGGGUUCAUCCCGAAAAAUAAAGACGGGAUGAAUUGAGUUUUUGACGUAAAAAUGUGCAUAUUUAUAGGAAUAACUAGGGUUUUUCUUUUUGAGAAUGUUGGCGGCGCAGCUUAUGCUUCGAUAUAUCGGAGGGGUGUCAACAUUG
rnacentral:lncRNA from 1 species